UACGAAGGGGGCUAGCGUUGCUCGGAAUCACUGGGCGUAAAGGGUGCGUAGGCGGGUCUUUAAGUCAGGGGUGAAAUCCCAGAGCUCAACUCUGGAACUGCCUUUGAUACUGGGUAUCUUGAGUAUGGAAGAGGUAAGUGGAAUUGCGAGUGUAGAGGUGAAAUUCGUAGAUAUUCGCAGGAACACCAGUGGCGAAGGCGGCUUACUGGUCCAUAACUGACGCUGAGGUGCGAAAGCGUGGGGAGCAAACAGGG
rnacentral:rRNA from 1 species